GCCUGCAGGACUUCAAAGCGAGAGGAGCUCUGUUCGCGAGCUCCUCUCUUUGUUUAAAGCAGCCAUCGGGUGUCUGCUCGGCCCAAGAGUGCUUCUGAGAUCAACACCUGGCAGACUCCAGCUGAAGCUGCCGCAGCAAGCCCCCAACUGAAGAUGCUGGAAGAACCCACAUUCAUAGUAAUCUCUGGGCUUACUAUAAGAAACUACGCAUAAGAAUUGGAGUCCCUGUACUGAUAUCACUCAACGCUCAUGAUGUUCCAUUUAGCUCCGGUGUUUACGGCGAUACAUCUGACUUGUGUUGUGUUAUACUUUAUUAUGGUCAUUGACCCAACAAAAAGCUGCAGCACAGCUGCAUUCCUGGGUAUGACCCACAGUUGAUGAGUGGCUGUUAGGUUUCUGAGGUGCUGUCCCUUCUAGCAACACAUUCCAAGCAAGCCAAAGAAGUUUGUGCCCAGGACAGUUGACAAGAAACCCAGCAAAAGAUGUGAUGAUUGUGGGUGACUGACCUGUAGAAUGCAACUGACUAGCUCCCAGAUUGCCUUUAGAUACCCAGCUUCAUCGUUGACAGCUGUCCCAGAUAAAUUCAUUUGAAAACCCAAGAGGAAUAAAACCAGUUUCUGAAAAAUGCAAGACGCCUUGAGCAUGCAUUACAGCAUCAGGUUACAUGAAUACAUUAAGUUAUUAUCAGUGAAUCUGCUGCUGUCAACCUCAAAAGAAAUAACUUCAGACAUUUAUUGAAUCCAAUAGUGACACUCUCACACCAACUUGUCUCAUAAUUUUUGUGAGGAGAUAAUGGAAUCAUUAACACUUUCAUGUGUCAUUAAAAGGCCAAAGGAAGAAUAGGUGUUUUUUCCUAGGAGACAUCCCUCAAGCAAGGUCAGCAAAGACUCUAAUCAGAAAGCUUUGAUAGGCCCCUCACAGCACUUAUAGAAAAGGAAUGAAAAGAAGAGAGAGAUUCUUCCCCUCAUAAAAACCAUAUCUGUCUGUUAUAAAGAGAAGUUUCAA